GAUGAAGAACGCAGCGAAAGUGCGAAACGUAAUGUGAAUUGCAGAAUUCAGUGAAUCAUCGAAUCUUUGAACGCAUCUUGCGCUCCUUGGUAUUCUGAGGAGCAUGCCUGUUUGAGUGUCAUUAAAUUCUCAACUACACUGACUUUGAAUUGGUGUGGCUUGGAUUUGGGGGGAAAAUUGUUGUGGGCUUUUUGUAUAGUCUGCUCCCCUGAAAUUGAUUAGCGGUACCGUUGUGGAACUGUCUACAGGUGUGAUAAUUAUCUACAUCUUAGACAUCUGCUGGAAUGCUGCUUUCUAAACCUUACUUGUAUUGACAAUCUUGACCUCAAAUCAGGUAGGACUACCCGCUGAACUUAAGCAUAUCAAUAAGCGGAGGA
rnacentral:misc_RNA from 1 species